rnacentral:rRNA from 1 species
CAAUAGCGUAUAUUUAAGUUGUUGCAGUUAAAAAGCUCGUAGUUGGAUUUUGGGUCGGGGGCACCGGUCCGCCGUUCCGGUGUGCACUGGUGGCCCCUUCCUUUCUGCCGGGGACGUGCGUCGCACUUAAUCGGGUGGCGUUCGGAGUCGGCGUUGUUACUUUGAAAAAAUUAGAGUGUUCAAAGCAAGCCAUCGCUCUGAAUACAUUAGCAUGGAAUAACAUGAUAGGACUCCGGUCUUAUUUUGUUGGUUUCCGAGACUGGAGUAAUGAUUAAGAGGGACAGUCGGGGGCAUCCGUAUUUCAUUGUCAGAGGUGAAAUUCUUGGAUUUAUGAAAGACGAACUUCUGCGAAAGCAUUUGCCAAGGAUGUUUUCAUUAA